rnacentral:rRNA from 1 species
GAUGAACGCUAGCGGGAGGCCUAACACAUGCAAGCCGAGCGGUAUUGUUUCUUCGGAAAUGAGAGAGCGGCGUACGGGUGCGUAACACGUGUGCAACCUGCCUUUAUCUGGGGGAUAGCCUUUCGAAAGGAAGAUUAAUACUCCAUCAUAUAUUGAACGGCAUCGUUUAAUAUUGAAAGCUCCGGCGGAUAGAGAUGGGCACGCGCAAGAUUAGCUAGUUGGUGGGGUAACGGCUCACCAAGGCGAUGAUCUUUAGGGGGCCUGAGAGGGUGAGCCCCCACACUGGAACUGAGACACGGACCAGACUCCUACGGGAGGCAGCAGUGAGGAAUAUUGGUCAAUGGGUGCAAGCCUGAACCAGCCAUCCCGCGUGAAGGACGACUGCCCUAUGGGUUGUAAACUUCUUUUGUAUAGGGAUAAACCUACCCUCGUGAGGGUAGCUGAAGGUACUAUACGAAUAAGCACCGGCUAACUCCGUGCCAGCCGCCGCCGUAA